UACGGGGGGAGCAAGCGUUGUUCGGAUUUACUGGGCGUAAAGGGCGCGUAGGCGGCCACUGCAAGUCAGUUGUGAAAUCUCCGGGCUUAACUCGGAAAGGUCAACUGAUACUGCAGGGCUAGAGUGCGGAAGGGGCAACUGGAAUUCCCAGUGUAGCGGUGAAAUGCGUAGAGACUGGGAAGAACACCAGUGGCGAAGGCGGCUACCUGGACAGGUACUGACGCUGAAGCGCGAAAGCUAGGGGAGCAAACAGG
rnacentral:rRNA from 1 species